UACGGGGGGAGCAAGCGUUGUUCGGAUUUACUGGGCGUAAAGGGCGCGUAGGCGGCCACCGCAAGUCGACUGUGAAAUCUCCGGGCUUAACCCGGAAAGGUCAGCCGAUACUGCGGGGCUAGAGUGCAGAAGGGGCAACUGGAAUUCUCGGUGUAGCGGUGAAAUGCGUAGAGAUGUGGAGGAACACCGAUGGCGAAGGCAGCCCCCUGGGUCAAGACUGACGCUCAUGCACGAAAGCGUGGGGAGCAAACAGG
rnacentral:rRNA from 1 species